rnacentral:misc_RNA from 1 species
GAUGAAGAACGCAGUGAAAUGCGAUAAGUAAUGUGAAUUGCAGAAUUCAGUGAAUCAUCGAAUCUUUGAACGCACAUUGCGCCCCUUGGUAUUCCGGGGGGCAUGCCUGUUCGAGCGUCAUUAUAACCCCUCAAGCUCAGCUUGGUGUUGGGGCCUGCCAACUGGCAGCCCUUAAAAUCAGUGGCGGCGCCAUCUGGCUCUAAGCGUAGUAAUUUCUCUCGCUAUAGGGUCCAGGUGGAUGCUGGCCAGCAACCCCCAAUUUUCUAUGGUUGACCUCGGAUCAGGUAGGGAUACCCGCUGAACUUAAGCAUAUCAAUAAGCGGAGGA